rnacentral:rRNA from 1 species
UUAAGCGACUAAGCGUACACGGUGGAUGCCCUGGCAGUCAGAGGCGAUGAAGGACGUGCUAAUCUGCGAAAAGCGUCGGUAAGGUGAUAUGAACCGUUAUAACCGGCGAUGUCCGAAUGGGGAAACCCAGUGUGAUUCGUCACACUAUCGUUAACUGAAUACAUAGGUUAACGAGGCGAACCGGGGGAACUGAAACAUCUAAGUACCCCGAGGAAAAGAAAUCAACCGAGAUUCCCCCAGUAGCGGCGAGCGAACGGGGAGCAGCCCAGAGUCUGAAUCAGCUUGUGUGUUAGUGGAACGGUCUGGAAAGUCCGACGGUACAGGGUGAUAGUCCCGUACACCAAAAUGCACAGGCUGUGAACUCGAAGAGUAGGGCGGGACACGUGGUAUCCUGUCUGAAUAUGGGGGGACCAUCCUCCAAGGCUAAAUACUCCUGACUGACCGAUAGUGAACCAGUACCGUGAGGGAAAGGCGAAAAGAACCCCGGCGAGGGGAGUGAAAAAGAACCUGAAACCGUGUACGUACAAGCAGUGGGAGCACCUUCGGGUGUGACUGCGUACCUUUUGUAUAAUGGGUCAGCGACUUAUAUUCUGUAGCAAGGUUAACCGUAUAGGGGAGCCGCAGGGAAACCGAGUCUUAACUGGGCGUUAAGUUGCAGGGUAUAGACCCGAAACCCGGUGAUUCAGCCAUGGGCAGGUUGAAGGUUGGGUAACACUAACUGGAGGACCGAACCGACUAAUGUUGAAAAAUUAGCGGAUGACUUGUGGCUGGGGGUGAAAGGCCAAUCAAACCGGGAGAUAGCUGGUUCUCCCCGAAAGCUAUUUAGGUAGCGCCUCGUGAACUCAUCUUCGGGGGUAGAGCACUGUUUCGGCUAGGGGGUCAUCCCGACUUACCAACCCGAUGCAAACUACGAAUACCGAAGAAUGUUAUCACGGGAGACACACGGCGGGUGCUAACGUCCGUCGUGAAGAGGGAAACAACCCAGACCGCCAGCUAAGGUCCCAAAGUCAUGGUUAAGUGGGAAACGAUGUGGGAAGGCACAGACAGCCAGGAUGUUGGCUUAGAAGCAGCCAUCAUUUAAAGAAAGCGUAAUAGCUCACUGGUCGAGUCGGCCUGCGCGGAAGAUGUAACGGGGCUAAACCAUGCACCGAAGCUGCGGCAGCGACACUAUGUGUUGUUGGGUAGGGGAGCGUUCUGUAAGCCUGCGAAGGUGACCUGUGAGGGUUGCUGGAGGUAUCAGAAGUGCGAAUGCUGACAUAAGUAACGAUAAAGCGGGUGAAAAGCCCGCUCGCCGGAAGACCAAGGGUUCCUGUCCAACGUUAAUCGGGGCAGGGUGAGUCGACCCCUAAGGCGAGGCCGAAAGGCGUAGUCGAUGGGAAACAGGUUAAUAUUCCUGUACUUGGUGUUACUGCGAAGGGGGGACGGAGAAGGCUAUGUUAGCCGGGCGACGGUUGUCCCGGUUUAAGCAUGUAGGCUGGUUAUCCAGGCAAAUCCGGAUAAUCAAGGCUGAGGUGUGAUGACGAGGCACUACGGUGCUGAAGUAACAAAUGCCCUGCUUCCAGGAAAAGCCUCUAAGCAUCAGGUAACAUCAAAUCGUACCCCAAACCGACACAGGUGGUCAGGUAGAGAAUACCAAGGCGCUUGAGAGAACUCGGGUGAAGGAACUAGGCAAAAUGGUGCCGUAACUUCGGGAGAAGGCACGCUGGUGUGUAGGUGAAGCCCCUGCGGGUGGAGCUGAGACCAGUCGAAGAUACCAGCUGGCUGCAACUGUUUAUUAAAAACACAGCACUGUGCAAACACGAAAGUGGACGUAUACGGUGUGACGCCUGCCCGGUGCCGGAAGGUUAAUUGAUGGGGUUAUCCGUAAGGAGAAGCUCUUGAUCGAAGCCCCGGUAAACGGCGGCCGUAACUAUAACGGUCCUAAGGUAGCGAAAUUCCUUGUCGGGUAAGUUCCGACCUGCACGAAUGGCGUAAUGAUGGCCAGGCUGUCUCCACCCGAGACUCAGUGAAAUUGAACUCGCUGUGAAGAUGCAGUGUACCCGCGGCAAGACGGAAAGACCCCGUGAACCUUUACUAUAGCUUGACACUGAACAUUGAGCCUUGAUGUGUAGGAUAGGUGGGAGGCUUUGAAGCGUGGACGCCAGUCUGCGUGGAGCCAACCUUGAAAUACCACCCUUUAAUGUUUGAUGUUCUAACGUUGGCCCCUUACCGGGGUUGCGGACAGUGUCUGGUGGGUAGUUUGACUGGGGCGGUCUCCUCCCAAAGCGUAACGGAGGAGCACGAAGGUUAGCUAAUCCUGGUCGGACAUCAGGAGGUUAGUGCAAUGGCAUAAGCUAGCUUGACUGCGAGCGUGACGGCGCGAGCAGGUGCGAAAGCAGGUCAUAGUGAUCCGGUGGUUCUGAAUGGAAGGGCCAUCGCUCAACGGAUAAAAGGUACUCCGGGGAUAACAGGCUGAUACCGCCCAAGAGUUCAUAUCGACGGCGGUGUUUGGCACCUCGAUGUCGGCUCAUCACAUCCUGGGGCUGAAGUAGGUCCCAAGGGUAUGGCUGUUCGCCAUUUAAAGUGGUACGCGAGCUGGGUUUAGAACGUCGUGAGACAGUUCGGUCCCUAUCUGCCGUGGGCGCUGGAGAAUUGAGGGGGGCUGCUCCUAGUACGAGAGGACCGGAGUGGACGCAUCACUGGUGUUCGGGUUGUCAUGCCAAUGGCACUGCCCGGUAGCUAAAUGCGGAAGAGAUAAGUGCUGAAAGCAUCUAAGCACGAAACUUGCCCCGAGAUGAGUUCUCCCUGAGACUUUAAGUCUCCUGAAGGAACGUUGAAGACGACGACGUUGAUAGGCCGGGUGUGUAAGCGCAGCGAUGCGUUGAGCUAACCGGUACUAAUGAACCGUGAGGCUUAACCU